AAAAAUCAUUGACAAAGGAAUCAUACGUAUCCUUCUUUAGCAAAACAGGCAACUUGCUCUUGUCAUCCCGAGCACACACUACCUUGUUACUCUCCAACCACUUCUCAGCAUUUCGGAUCUUUGUUCGCAUGGAUCUCAAAUCUUUAUCAUUAAAGUUUUUAAUACUCGCAGCUAUUUGCCAUCUGAUCUCAUCUGCUUUCACUGGAUCACAUUCCUGCAACAUUGGUUCUAAUUGUACGGCUAUAUUCUGCCACGUAGGGAAGUUCUGCACUAAGGCAUUAGGACCCAAACUCAGUAUUUCAUCCACAAAACCUGGGACCACUAUGUCAUCGAGUACCACAUACGGUUUUUUCUCUGGAGCAGGUCUCCUCCGAACCUGUUUAUAAAGUAGCCAUUUAAGCUUCUUCACAUAAUUUCUGUUAACCUUGGAUUGAUUAAAAUAAAUAAACUGUGCCUGUGAUGGAAGAGCACUUUCCAACCUCUAUUUAUAAACUGACUUUACCGGUAAGAUCAAAAAAACUCUUAGUACUUACUAAAAAGCGUUGUUUAGCAUAUGCAAUUUCUGAUGCAAGAAGAGAACUGUUUAGAUUUAAGUCCCAGUUCCAACAAGGAGGUCUAUACGGGGUCAGUAUAGAGUAUCUUAAAAGUGCUCUUCCAUCACAGGCACAGUUUAUUUAUUUUAAUCAAUCCAAGGUUAACAGAAAUUAUGUGAAGAAACUUAAAUGGCUACUUCAUAAGCAGGUU
rnacentral:lncRNA from 1 species